GGAAGUAAAAGACGUAACAAGGUAUCCGUAGGUGAACCUGCGGAAGGAUCAUUAUUGUAUAACCGAGGUGCGAGGGCUGUCGCUGACCCGAAAGGUCGUGCACGCCCGAGUGCCCUCACACACAUCCAUCUCACCCCUAUGUGCACCACCGCGUGGGUCCCCCUUUGGCUUGUUCGGAGGGGGGCUUACGCUUUCACACAAACUUUGUAUGCAGUGUAGAAUGUAUUUUUUGUUUUUGCGAUCACGCAAUCAAUACAACUUUCAACAACGGAUCUCCUGGCUCUC
rnacentral:misc_RNA from 1 species